rnacentral:rRNA from 1 species
GGGUUGUGAGGUUAAGCGACUAAGCGUACACGGUGGAUGCCCUGGCAGUCAGAGGCGAUGAAGGGCGUGCUAAUCUGCGAUAAGCGCCGGUAAGGUGAUAUGAACCGUUAUAACCGGCGAUACCCGAAUGGGGAAACCCAGUGUGACUCGUCACACUAUCAUUAACUGAAUCCAUAGGUUAAUGAGGCGAACCGGGGGAACUGAAACAUCUAAGUACCCCGAGGAAAAGAAAUCAACCGAGAUUCCCCCAGUAGCGGCGAGCGAACGGGGAGGAGCCCAGAGCCUGAAUCAGCAUAUGUGUUAGUGGAAGCGUCUGGAAAGGCGCGCGAUACAGGGUGACAGCCCCGUACACAAAAGCGCAUGUGCUGUGAGCUCGAUGAGUAGGGCGGGACACGUGGUAUCCUGUCUGAAUAUGGGGGGACCAUCCUCCAAGGCUAAAUACUCCUGACUGACCGAUAGUGAACCAGUACCGUGAGGGAAAGGCGAAAAGAACCCCGGCGAGGGGAGUGAAAAAGAACCUGAAACCGUGUACGUACAAGCAGUGGGAGCCCCACCACUAAGCCAGUGGUGAACUCCACAUACGCAUCCUUUGCUGAGGAUGCGGUUAACGGAGCGAAAGCGACGUUCAACCGCAAAAGAAGCAGAGGGGGCUUAGUGGUGGGGUGACUGCGUACCUUUUGUAUAAUGGGUCAGCGACUUAUAUUCUGUAGCAAGGUUAACCGAAUAGGGGAGCCGGAGGGAAACCGAGUCUUAAUUGGGCGUUAAGUUGCAGGGUAUAGACCCGAAACCCGGUGAUCUAGCCAUGGGCAGGUUGAAGGUUGGGUAACACUAACUGGAGGACCGAACCGACUAAUGUUGAAAAAUUAGCGGAUGACCUGUGGCUGGGGGUGAAAGGCCAAUCAAACCGGGAGAUAGCUGGUUCUCCCCGAAAGCUAUUUAGGUAGCGCCUCGUGAAUUCAUCUCCGGGGGUAGAGCACUGUUUCGGCUAGGGGGCCAUCCCGGCUUACCAACCCGAUGCAAACUGCGAAUACCGGAGAAUGUUAUCACGGGAGACACACGGCGGGUGCUAACGUCCGUCGUGAAGAGGGAAACAACCCAGACCGCCAGCUAAGGUCCCAAAGUCAUGGUUAAGUGGGAAACGAUGUGGGAAGGCCCAGACAGCCAGGAUGUUGGCUUAGAAGCAGCCAUCAUUUAAAGAAAGCGUAAUAGCUCACUGGUCGAGUCGGCCUGCGCGGAAGAUGUAACGGGGCUAAACCAUGCACCGAAGCUGCGGCAGCGACGCUGAUGCGUUGUUGGGUAGGGGAGCGUUCUGUAAGCCUGCGAAGGUGGCCUGUGAGGGUUGCUGGAGGUAUCAGAAGUGCGAAUGCUGACAUAAGUAACGAUAAAGCGGGUGAAAAGCCCGCUCGCCGGAAGACCAAGGGUUCCUGUCCAACGUUAAUCGGGGCAGGGUGAGUCGACCCCUAAGGCGAGGCCGAAAGGCGUAGUCGAUGGGAAACGGGUUAAUAUUCCCGUACUUGGUGUUACUGCGAAGGGGGGACGGAGAAGGCUAUGUUGGCCGGGCGACGGUUGUCCCGGUUUAAGCGUGUAGGUGUGUGUUCCAGGUAAAUCCGGUUCACUUUAACACUGAGGCGUGAUGACGAGGCACUACGGUGCUGAAGCAACAAAUGCCCUGCUUCCAGGAAAAGCCUCUAAGCAUCAGGUAACAUCAAAUCGUACCCCAAACCGACACAGGUGGUCAGGUAGAGAAUACCAAGGCGCUUGAGAGAACUCGGGUGAAGGAACUAGGCAAAAUGGUGCCGUAACUUCGGGAGAAGGCACGCUGACACGUAGGUGAAGUGAUUUACUCAUGGAGCUGAAGUCAGUCGAAGAUACCAGCUGGCUGCAACUGUUUAUUAAAAACACAGCACUGUGCAAACACGAAAGUGGACGUAUACGGUGUGACGCCUGCCCGGUGCCGGAAGGUUAAUUGAUGGGGUCAGCGCAAGCGAAGCUCCUGAUCGAAGCCCCGGUAAACGGCGGCCGUAACUAUAACGGUCCUAAGGUAGCGAAAUUCCUUGUCGGGUAAGUUCCGACCUGCACGAAUGGCGUAAUGAUGGCCAGGCUGUCUCCACCCGAGACUCAGUGAAAUUGAACUCGCUGUGAAGAUGCAGUGUACCCGCGGCAAGACGGAAAGACCCCGUGAACCUUUACUAUAGCUUGACACUGAACAUUGAGCCUUGAUGUGUAGGAUAGGUGGGAGGCUUUGAAGUGUGGACGCCAGUCUGCAUGGAGCCGGCCUUGAAAUACCACCCUUUAAUGUUUGAUGUUCUAACGUGGACCCGUGAUCCGGGUUGCGGACAGUGUCUGGUGGGUAGUUUGACUGGGGCGGUCUCCUCCUAAAGAGUAACGGAGGAGCACGAAGGUUGGCUAAUCCUGGUCGGACAUCAGGAGGUUAGUGCAAUGGCAUAAGCCAGCUUGACUGCGAGCGUGACGGCGCGAGCAGGUGCGAAAGCAGGUCAUAGUGAUCCGGUGGUUCUGAAUGGAAGGGCCAUCGCUCAACGGAUAAAAGGUACUCCGGGGAUAACAGGCUGAUACCGCCCAAGAGUUCAUAUCGACGGCGGUGUUUGGCACCUCGAUGUCGGCUCAUCACAUCCUGGGGCUGAAGUAGGUCCCAAGGGUAUGGCUGUUCGCCAUUUAAAGUGGUACGCGAGCUGGGUUUAGAACGUCGUGAGACAGUUCGGUCCCUAUCUGCCGUGGGCGCUGGAGAACUGAGGGGGGCUGCUCCUAGUACGAGAGGACCGGAGUGGACGCAUCACUGGUGUUCGGGUUGUCAUGCCAAUGGCACUGCCCGGUAGCUAAAUGCGGAAGAGAUAAGUGCUGAAAGCAUCUAAGCACGAAACUUGCCCCGAGAUGAGUUCUCCCUGAGACUUAGAGUCUCCUGAAGGAACGUUGAAGACGACGACGUUGAUAGGCCGGGUGUGUAAGCGCAGCGAUGCGUUGAGCUAACCGGUACUAAUGAACCGUGAGGCUUAACCUUACAACGCCGAAG